CUUCGUUUCACAAUGUAAGUCAUUCUAGCAUUUCCCAUAUUCAUAUUGAUGUUAAUGAAUCUAAAUAGAUAUAUAUGUCUAGAUUCACUAACAUCAAUAUGAAUGUGGGAAAUGCUAGAA
rnacentral:misc_RNA from 1 species